CAAAUGAUUAAUAUUAAACCAAACAUUGUUCAUUUAACAGAUAACUGAAAAACGUAUUAUUGGUUAAAGGCUCUGUUUGGGAGCAGUGUUUUAGAACAGAACAUGUAAUAAAAUGGGAGGAAACCCAAGUGGCAUCAUAGAGCAUUAGGCUGAGGCUGAGGCUGGUAACAACUGCAGUCAGUCAGCUAGGCAAGGCUGUUAGAAUUUACAAAGAGAUGAGAACAGAAGGGAACGAUGCACAAAGUUUGCCCAGUAGUUUUGAAUGUGGAAGGGGUAAUCUAAGACCCGAAACAUUUCAUGGAAUGUGCCAGUUUCAGAUGAGGGAAAAUUUAAACCUUCAUUACCCAAGACUAUAGAUAAGGAAUCACAAGCAAAUAAACACUGAGGCUACAGUCCAGGAGAAGAGCUAAAAUGAGGAACUCAUCCUGUAAUGCAACAGGACAUAGUUUGCAAGGCCAGCUACAAUUGCUCACAUCCAAGGUAGGCCAGAUAAAUACCUGUAGUAAUUACUCAGCAAGGACAAACUUGCAUGGAAUGGGGAGAAGAUAACUCUGGCAGCAGUUUUGGACAAGUAAGAUAUGGGCCACCAAGGCAUUAAUAAGACUAUUAAUCAAGACUAAUUGUUUGCAGAGUGUAAAUCACUCCUCCCACAAAUAAAUAUAACGAUGCUAAGAAUUGUAAAAUUCAUCUAAUAAUUAAAAGAGUAGCUCAGAACAAGGUUCCAACAGUACUGUAAAUUGAUUAACUGAGAUAGAUCACAGUUUUAAGAUUUUGAAAAUGAGAAUUAGAAGGGAGAACCAAGCUGAAUGGUCUGGAGCCUCUAAAAUGAAACCUUUGAAGAAAACUAAAUUCAGGGUCUAUUUCACACCUCAAGAAUUUGUGAAAUAGAAGCACAUAGCUAGACUUGGGUCUUCUGUAGGAAAAAAAAUUUAGAAUUCUUUUCUCCCUUCCCUUAAUAUUGUGUGGUUGAGUAAAUUACAUGUAUUCCUGUCACUUAUUGGGAAACUAAGGCCCAGAAGUUCUUCUUUGCUAAACAGUGUUUGUUUGUUUGUUUUUAUUCUGGGACAAAACUUUGCUAUAUUGCUACAUUAGUAUCAUUUUAAAAUGUUC
rnacentral:lncRNA from 1 species